ACCGGCAGACAGGCGGACCGGGCGCUCGGCUGUCGCUGUUCUCCGCGCGGCGGCUGCGGGGCUUCUGACUUGGAGAACAAUGAAGCGUGAGCUGGAGGGGAGCGAGCGGGCCGCCGGGAGCGCACUGUGUACAAACAGAGGCGGCGUGCGUGUGAGUCUGAGCCUGGCAGGCGCGCUCCCCACUCCCCCGGCGCCCGCCCGCCCUCCGCCCGCCCUGUUAUUCACUCCCCGGGUCUCCCCCUCCUCUCUCUCUCUUUUGCUCUCUCUCUCUGUCUCUCUUUUGCUCUCUCUCUCCUUCCUCCCUCCUCCCCUCCUCUUUCAGCUCCUUCUGCUAUAAGAGAAAAGGGAGACAACUGCAGCCACACCCUAGCACCUAGCACCUGCCACCACCUCUGAAGUUCCUGCAUUGCCUGUACCUUCUCCGCACAUGCUGGAGACUGUGGGGUUAAGAGCUGCACCCUUGCUGCCUGAGAGUCCCUUGGAUUCCAGCACUGACUUUAUAAUUAACCACGUUAAGGAUUCCCCUGAACUUCCUUUCUCAGUAUAACCAGGAACAGAAGUUAAGAGAUUUUGAAAAGUGACUCUUGGGGCACAAAACUGCAUGAGAGACAGAACCCUGCAAAGUGAAUUGCCCCGUAUUUCUCAGGAACUGCAACGUAGUCAGCAACCAGACCCUAAUCAGCUAAGACAGGGCUGCUCUGCUGCUCUGUCUACAAUUUAGUUAGCUCCAGGGCUGGGGAGAGAGGGUUGUGGGCUCAUCUGUUCACGGGGGCAAAAGGGUGGAAGUGAGUAGGAGACAUGCAUCUCGUUAAGCAGGACAUCUGUUUCAGAGAAGAAGUGGGGCAAGUUUGGGAACUGUGCAAGAACAUAAAGGCAAAGACAGACCCUUGAAGCAUCACUAAGGUGGAUCAAAUUUUCUUUCUAUCCGCCAAAAUAAAUGGACUGGUUUUUGCAGUGGAAGUGAUUGAACCAAAAAUACAGCUCAUGGCUUACAAUUGUGCUUUCUUCUCUGUUUUUCGGUUAGAAUGAUUGCUUAUUGUACAUGGAUCCAAUUCCAGCAGUUACAGGUACCAAAAUGAAACAGGGCUUCUUUUUUCUUUUUUUUCUUUUUUUUUUCUUUUCCUUUUUUCUUUUCUUUUUUUUUUUUUUUUGUCUUCUAGAGAGGGAGGUAGGGAGAGAGACAAACACAGAGCUAGAGAAAUUGAAAGAGAAACAUUCUCGAAGGCAAAGAGUUGAAAGGUGAAUCUACUAAGAAAAGAAUAACAGAGUGCAAUUAGCCAUGGAACUACAUCUCCAUCUGCCUCCUUUAAAGGAUGAGUCCUUUAAAGAGCCUUUGGAAGGAAUUGGGCCAUGAGAAGAGCCCUCAUGAAUGGGAUUAGUUCCCUUAUAAGAAGAGACACCAAGGAAGUGAUCUUUCUCUGCCCUCUGCUAUGUGAAGACAAGGUAAGAAGACAGCUAUGAACCAAGAAGCAGGCCCUUACCAGACACCAAAUCUGCUGGUGCAUUGAUCUUGGACUUCUCAGCCUCCAGGACUGUGAGAAAUAAAUGUUUAUUGUUGAAGCCACCCAGUCUACAGUAAUUUGUUAUAGCAGCUGAAAUUGACUAAGACAAUUUAAAAAAAUUAAUCUCAUUGACUAUCAAUUUGGAUUCUGGAGCAUACCUGGAUUCAGGUAUACAUUGGAUUUGGGCAUAUCUGAACUGGAAUAUGGUCUCUAUCAUUCUAACUCCUUUAACUAAGUUAAAGUCUGUUAAGUGCCAAACCUCAGUAUUCUCAUCUGUAAAAUGAAGGUAGUGAUAGUAUCAAACUGAUAGUGGUAGGUUGUGGUGGUGCACAAAAGGGCCUAGUCCAGCACUGGACACAUGGUGAUGAUGAUGAAAGAUAAUGAUACUGAUAAAUAAGAAGACAAUACUAAUAUACAUAAUUCCAAAAGAAUUUUUCUUAAUACGUGAUCCUCUUCACUCCCCGUCUCCCAUCCCCAUUAAAUUACCUGGAAUUUUUUAGUCCAUCUUUCAGUUUGUCAAGCAACGAAUAACACUAAAGGUAGUCUUUUUUAUUAUCGUGUAAUUAUGGAAUUUUUUAUUAUUUUGCAUUUUAAAACUUUGUUUUGAAUUUCCAAAACUUUUUAUUUAAUAUCUAAAAUGUCUUUCUACUAAAAUUUUGCUCUCACCGUCUGAGACUCAAAGCAGAAAACCCAGCCAAGACCAUCUCAAAUUCUGACCUACAGAACUGGGAGUUAAUAAUUGGUGUUGUUUUAAACUGCUGAGUCUGUGGUAGUUUGCUAUGAAGACUAAUAUAGUUGGUUACUAUUGUUAUUCUAAUUUCAGGGAGAAGGAAUAAGUCAUGGAGCGGUUAGGUUAAUUGUCCAUCCUCUCAAGUUAGUAAGUGUUGGAGCCGAUAAGUGAAUCUAAACAGCGUGAAUCUAAAGCCCACUGCAUACUUCUGCCAACAAUUAUGAAGGGUCGACUGUAUGCUAAGCUCUAAUGCAUUUUUACAUAUAUUGCUUUACUAAAUAGGUUACCUCAACAACCUUUAUGAGGUAAAUAUUAUUAUUAUUUGCAUUUGACUACUGAGGAAACCAAGAAUCAAAACCUUUAAGUACAUUGCCCAGGAUCAAGGUGGCGGUGAGGAAUGGAGCCAAGAGCUAGUAUCAGAGCCCUGCUCUGGUUCCAGUAGUGAUUUUCACAGCCAUUGUGUUAAAAUGCCUAUUUAGACAGUGGUCUAACUUACUUUAUUUAUUGACAUUUUCAAUUUCAAUGGUUAUAAUUAUAAUUGUCAUUUUUUAGUACAGUUUGCAUUUCUCCCUGAUCUUCUUGAUGCAUCAUUUUAGAAUAUACAUUGCUGAAAUGUAGAAUUUCAAGCACAUUUUAAAUUCUCUACAAUAUUUGCAUAACUCAUAACACUUUUCUUCAUUGCUCCCACAAGCACCAAGAUAAUUCUUUCCUCCAACCCUCUGCUCAUGCUGUUAUCCCCACCUGAAAUGCCCUCUUACAAAUCCUACUAGCUGAAUUACAGUUUCCAUUUAAGACCUCCCCGAAUUAUUCUAGCACCAGAGAACCAUCAUUUCUUAGAAUUAACAGUGCUUUUAAUUUUUUUUCUAGUUGUUUCACUUGUGUUAAUCUUAUCUUUCCAAAGAAUUAUAUGGUUCUUACCAUUUAGAUAACUGCAUGUCUUAGACAUAGCUGAGUGUUAUGUUUUAAAUUUCUUCAGUCUUUCCACUGUGAACACUAAGGAAAAUUAAUUUUUAAGACUACAGAUUUGAUACCAAAUCCCUACUUCCUAAUAUUUCACUGCCUGAUUCCCUAAUGGAUGCUCUUUCCAGAAAAUGUGUAGGGUCAUUAAGCAAGAGUGUACCUUUGCUUUCAGAAUUUGACCCUGGUAGGAGAAAUUUCUGGUGCUUCUAAUUCUUUCCCUCCAGUUUCCCAGUCAAACUCAUUUCAGUGACUUGGUUUUUAGCUUCCUGAAAUAUGUUUGAAUAAUUAAUAUAUACACACAAUAAAAGUUCAAAGGUACAAAAGAGUGUGCAGGAAAAUAAAAGUUUUCCUCCUAAUGACAUUCCCUUCUUACACAAGGUUAUUCCCUCAGGGCCUACUGCUGAUAUCUAGUAGCUAUGCUUGUGUAUCCUUCUAAAGAUACACAAACACACCCCCCUAUAUAUGUGUGUUUAUAUGUACUUGUGCAUACAUGUGUGUAUAUAUAGUGUGUAUAUGUGUACACACAUACUUUUUACAAAAGUUACUAAAUUAUACAAUCAUGGAUCUUGCUUUUCUUCACAAACGUUCUGUGUUUUGAAAUUGUAUCAAGGACUGCAUAGUAUCUGUAUAUGUAAAUCCUUUUUGAUAGACAUUUAAGUUGCUUCCAAUCUUUUGCUAUUGCAAGCAAUAUUACAUGAAUACACAUUUUGCACAUGUGUGCAAGAUAAACAUAUUAGAAUAGAUUUGUUGAAGUAACAUUGUUGGUGGGGGGAAUGUUCAUAUAAAAUUGUGAUAGAUAUUACCAAUUUGCCAUUCAUAAGGUAUCUAUGAGUUCACCCUUCCACCUGUACUGUAUCAGACAGCUUGUCUCUCUUUAGUGUGGCUGAUAUGAUUCUUAACAGUCUUUGAAAGACAAAAAAAGGUAUCUCAUGGUUUUGAACACCUAUUAUUUUUACUGGGUUUGAGCAACUUUUCGCAUAUUUAAAAAUAAUUAUUUUCUUUAUGUGAACUGGCAUUUCAUGUAUUUUGCUUUUAUUUCUACUGAUUUGCUAACCUUUUUAUUGAUUGGUAGGAGAUCUGUAUAAGGAAAUUCAUCCAUUUG
rnacentral:lncRNA from 10 species